rnacentral:rRNA from 1 species
AGGGCGUAUGGUGGAUGCCUUGGCACUAGGAGCCGAUGAAGGACGUGACUAACUGCGAUAUGCUUCGGGGAGUUGUAAGUAAACUAUGAUCCGGAGAUUUCCGAAUGGGGAAACCUAACAGGUUUUACCGCCUGUUAUCACUAAGUGAAUUCAUAGCUUAGUUGAAGGUAGACGUGGGGAACUGAAACAUCUAAGUACCCACAGGAAGAGAAAGAAAUUCGAUUCCCUCAGUAGCGGCGAGCGAACCGGGAAGAGCCCAAACUAAGAAGCUUGCUUCUUAGGGUUGUAGGACUGAACAUCUGAGUUACCAAGAAAUGAAGUAGUUGAAUAAUCUGGGAAGAUUAGCCAAAGAGAGUGAUAGCCUCGUAAGCGAAACUUCGUUUCCUCAGUUCAGGAUCCUGAGUACGGCGGAACACGUGAAACUCCGUCGGAAUCCGGGAGGACCAUCUCCCAAGGCUAAAUACUACCUAGUGACCGAUAGUGAACCAGUACCGUGAGGGAAAGGUGAAAAGCACCCCGGGAGGGGAGUGAAAUAGUUCCUGAAACCAUAUGCCUACAAGUAGUCAGAGCUCGUUAAUGAGUGAUGGCGUGCCUUUUGUAGAAUGAACCGGCGAGUUACGUUAGCGUGCGAGGUUAAGGAGGAAAGUCCGGAGCCGUAGCGAAAGCGAGUCUGAAUAGGGCGAGGUAGUACGUUGACGUAGACCCGAAACCAGGUGACCUACCCAUGUCCAGGUUGAAGGUGCGGUAAAACGCACUGGAGGACCGAACCCGUGUAUGUUGAAAAAUGCUGGGAUGAGGUGUGGGUAGAGGUGAAAUUCCAAACGAACUUGGAGAUAGCUGGUUCUCUCCGAAAUAGCUUUAGGGCUAGCCUCGGAGUUAAGAAUCGUGGAGGUAGAGCACUGUUUGGACUAGGGGCCCGUCUUGGGUUACUGAAUUCAGAUAAACUCCGAAUGCCACAGAUUUAUAUCCGGGAGUCAGACUGCGAGUGAUAAGAUCCGUAGUCGAAAGGGAAACAGCCCAGACCACCGAUUAAGGUCCCAAAAUAUGUGUUAAGUGGAAAAGGAUGUGGAAUUGCAUAGACAACUAGGAUGUUGGCUUAGAAGCAGCCACCAUUUAAAGAGUGCGUAAUAGCUCACUAGUCGAGUGAUCCUGCGCCGAAAAUGUAACGGGGCUAAACACAUUACCGAAAUCGUGGAUGUACCGUAAGGUACAUGGUAGGAGAGCGUUCUAAGGACGGCGAAGCUAGACCGUAAGGACUGGUGGAGUGCUUAGAAGUGAGAAUGCCGGUAUGAGUAGCGAAAGAUCAGUGAGAAUCUGGUCCACCGUAUGACUAAGGUUUCCUGGGGAAGGCUCGUCCUCCCAGGGUUAGUCGGGACCUAAGCCGAGGCCGAGAGGCGUAGGCGAUGGAUAACAGGUUGAGAUUCCUGUACUGGUUAAACUUGUUUGAACAAUGGAGGGACGCAGGAGGCUAUCGAUGCGUACUGUUGGAUAUGUACGUUCAAGCAAUAAGUCUGUAGAUGAGUCAAAUGCUUAUCUACUUAAGGACAAGUUGUGAUGAGGAGCGAAAUUUAGUAGCGAAGUGAGAGACGUCACACUGCCAAGAAAAGCUUCUAGUUAGAGUUUAAUCACCCGUACCGCAAACCGACACAGGUAGUCGAGGCGAGUAGCCUAAGGUGAGCGAGAGAACUCUCGUUAAGGAACUCGGCAAAAUGACCCCGUAACUUCGGGAGAAGGGGUGCUGAGCGCAAGCUCAGCCGCAGUGAAUAGGCCCAGGCGACUGUUUAUCAAAAACACAGGUUUCUGCAAAAUCGUAAGAUGAAGUAUAGGGGCUGACGCCUGCCCGGUGCUGGAAGGUUAAGAGGAUGGGUUAGCGUAAGCGAAGCUCAGAAUUGAAGCCCCAGUAAACGGCGGCCGUAACUAUAACGGUCCUAAGGUAGCGAAAUUCCUUGUCGGGUAAGUUCCGACCCGCACGAAAGGCGUAACGAUCUGGGCACUGUCUCAACGAGAGACUCGGUGAAAUUAUAAUACCCGUGAAGAUGCGGGUUACCCGCGACAGGACGGAAAGACCCCAUGGAGCUUUACUGUAGCUUGAUAUUGGGUGUUUGUACAACUUGUACAGGAUAGGUAGGAGCCGUAGAAGUCGGAACGCUAGUUUCGAUGGAGGCAUUGGUGGGAUACUACCCUCGUUGUAUGAACACUCUAACCCUCGCCGGCAAUCACGGCGGGAGACAGUGUCAGGUGGGCAGUUUGACUGGGGCGGUCGCCUCCUAAAAGGUAACGGAGGCGCCCAAAGGUUCCCUCAGAAUGGUUGGAAAUCAUUCGCAGAGU